CCUUUACCUGACAGACCCCUCUGGCUGUAGUCCAUGUCCGGCGGGAUACUUCUGUGGCACUGUAGGCCUCACUCGUCCAUCUGGACUGUGUGAGGAAGGGUUUUACUGUCCAGGGGGAGACACAACAUCUACAGGUAAAACUGGAAACAUACUAACUUAUAUUUGAAACUUAUUUGUAUUAUUAAAGUUAUUAGUUUUUAGGUUUUAAAAUUAUAGCAGAAUCAUGUACUCUUUUCUGAUUCAAGAUUUUCAGCAAUUUACUAAACGUAAUUAGAUUCCCCUCUCCAGGCUCAGCGGGGGGUCCUUGCCCACCAGCUCAUUACUGCCCUGAGGGGAGUGGCAGCCCGUUGCCCUGCCCCGCUGGAACGUACACCAAUCUCACAGGCCAGCCACUGUGCUCCCGCUGUCCCGCUGGAUACUACUGUCCAGAAAAGACUGGCAACUUCAGCAAGUUCCCCUGUCCCCCUGGAUUCUACUGCCUCGACGGUAGAAUCCCCCGAAACACCGAGUCAUGGAUAUGUUUCUUCAGAAGUGAAUAAUAGACAUAUUGUAAAACCUCUAUGUUUGUGAUGCUCAUGUCUGUGUAGGUACUAGACACUCCACGCAGUUUCCCUGUCCUCGUGGAUAUUACAACCCAGAGCCCAUGACUCAGAGUCUGGACAGCUGCUUGCCUUGUCCUCCAGGCCACUACUGUGAGAAGGAGAGGCUGACCAAAGUAUCUGGAAAAUGCAAGGCCGGAUGGUUCUGUGUGUCGGCGGCGUGGAACUCCCAACCCUUCGACCUGGACAACUACACAAAUGCCAACUGUCUGUGUCCAGCCACCUCCACGGGGGGGCGCUGCCAGGUGGGCUUCUACUGCCCCCUGGGUAGCACAGAGCCCCUCCCUUGUCCGCCUGGACAUUUCUGUAACAUCUCAGGUACAAGGCAUAGCAAACCCAGCAACUUUUACCAGUCAGCACCUUUAGGCUCUUCACACAUGUCGAUUAUUUGCAUUAAAAUACAAACACUGUAUUAGGUUUGGCGCUGCCCAUGGGUCCCUGCUCCGCUGGGUACUACUGUGCAGGAGGCGCCACUGAGGCCAAACCAACAGAUGGAGAGACAGGCAGCAUCUGUCCACCUGGGACAUACUGUGGUAGGCCCCUACAGCGGAUUUCAUUACGUUAAUUGUAUAUAUUAUACUGUAUAGAAGUGGAAAUAUGGGGCUGGACAUUGAAGCCUACCAAAGCCUGGCAACAUGCU
rnacentral:lncRNA from 1 species